GAUGAACGCUGGCGGCGUGCCUAAUACAUGCAAGUCGAGCGAACAGACGAGGAGCUUGCUCCUCUGACGUUAGCGGCGGACGGGUGAGUAACACGUGGAUAACCUACCUAUAAGACUGGGAUAACUUCGGGAAACCGGAGCUAAUACCGGAUAAUAUAUUGAACCGCAUAGUUCAAUAGUGAAAGACGGUUUUGCUGUCACUUAUAGAUGGAUCCGCGCCGCAUUAGCUAGUUGGUAAGGUAACGGCUUACCAAGGCGACGAUGCGUAGCCGACCUGAGAGGGUGAUCGGCCACACUGGAACUGAGACACGGUCCAGACUCCUACGGGAGGCAGCAGUAGGGAAUCUUCCGCAAUGGGCGAAAGCCUGACGGAGCAACGCCGCGUGAGUGAUGAAGGUCUUCGGAUCGUAAAACUCUGUUAUUAGGGAAGAACAAAUGUGUAAGUAACUAUGCACGUCUUGACGGUACCUAAUCAGAAAGCCACGGCUAACUACGUG
rnacentral:rRNA from 1 species